AUUGAACGCUGGCGGCAUGCCUUACACAUGCAAGUCGAACGGCAGCACGGGAGCUUGCUCCUGGUGGCGAGUGGCGAACGGGUGAGUAAUACAUCGGAACGUACCCUGAAGUGGGGGAUAACGUAGCGAAAGUUACGCUAAUACCGCAUAUUCUGUGAGCAGGAAAGAGGGGGAUCGCAAGACCUCUUGCUUUAGGAGCGGCCGAUGUCGGAUUAGCUAGUUGGUGAGGUAAAGGCUCACCAAGGCGACGAUCCGUAGCGGGUCUGAGAGGAUGAUCCGCCACACUGGGACUGAGACACGGCCCAGACUCCUACGGGAGGCAGCAGUGGGGAAUUUUGGACAAAUGGGCGCAAGCCUGAUCCAGCCAUGCCGCGUGAGUGAAGAAAGGGCCUCGGUUGGUUAAAGGUACG
rnacentral:rRNA from 1 species